ensembl:snRNA U6 U6 spliceosomal RNA
GUUCUUGCUUUGGCAGCACAUAUACCAAAACUGAAAUGACACAGAGAAAAUAAGCAUGGCCCAAUACAAGGCUGAGAAGCAAAUUCGUGUUGUUCCAUAUUAAG